rnacentral:rRNA from 1 species
UACGGAGGGUGCGAGCGUUGUCCGGAAUCAUUGGGCGUAAAGGGCGCGUAGGUGGCCCGGUCAGUUCGUGGUGAAAGCGCGGGGCUCAACCCUGCGUCGGCCAUGAAUACUGCCGCGGCUGGAGCACUGUAGAGGCAGGCGGAAUUCCGGGUGUAGCGGUGGAAUGCGUAGAGAUCCGGAAGAACACCGGUGGCGAAGGCGGCAUCCUGGACCAACACUGACACUGAGGAGCGAAAGCCAGGGGAGCAAACGGG